rnacentral:rRNA from 1 species
ACGAACGCUGGCGGCGUGCCUAACACAUGCAAGUCAACUUGAACUGAAGGAGCAAUCUGACAGUAGAGUGGCGCAAGGGUGCGUAACGCGUAAGUAACUUGCCCCAAGGUAAGGAAUAACGUCGAGAAAUCGGCGCUAAUACCUCAUAAUGCAGCGGAUCCGCAUGGAUAUGUUGUUAAAGGUUUACCGCCUUGGGAUAGGCUUGCGUCUGAUUAGCUAGUUGGUGUGGUAACGGCACACCAAGGCUACGAUCAGUAACUGGUCUGAGAGGAUGAUCAGUCACACUGGAACUGAGACACGGUCCAGACUCCUACGGGAGGCAGCAGUGAGGAAUAUUGGGCAAUGCUCGAAAGAGUGACCCAGCAACGCCGCGUGGAGGAUGAAGGUAUUCUAUAUCGUAAACUCCUGUGAGAGCAGACAAAAGACAGAUUAUUAAUCUGGAUGACUGUAUGCUCAGAGGAAGCCCCGGCUAACUACGUG